rnacentral:piRNA from 1 species
UGUGACGUACUUUCCUGCAGGAGGACAGGGC